CAGAUGCCAUGUUGCAAGAUUUCCUCUGGAGAGGGCCUCUUGGCAAGGAACUGAUGUCUCUGGCCAGCAGCCAGCGAGGACCUAAGAUCUGUCAACAGCCAUGCAGAAGGGACAAUGAAUUGUGACUCGGAAAUUAAUCAGAUGAGACCUGAUGACUGAAGUACAUCACAGAGCUAGGAAGAGAGAUUACUAAGCAACACGGUGAGAGCUCCAUCCUCUGGGUAUUCAGCCAACUACAGAUCACUCAAAGGCAGACAUUCUGGGAUCUUCCAUCCAUCAAGCUGAACCAGAGUACAAGGCCAAAACCAGUGAAUGACAAAGCAACCCCAUGCCCAGCUUAAGAGUUUCCUCAGAGAGUUUGUCUUGUAGGAGUCAUUAGACACUAAUUUGAUUCUAUUUGCAUGUGCACACCCUGCCCUUUGCCAAACAGGGAGAGAAUCACACUUGAGAGCUAGCGCUCAGCUCAGUCUCUUCUCCACACCACGCUAGUGCACCAAGAACAAGGUUAUAGGUGUGGCAAAAAAACAAACCCUGCCAAUGCUCUAAGUAUAUGUUUGAUGUAAUCUUAUUUCUCAUAAAAUUAAGAGGAUAAUAUUUUUAGGUGAUGCAGAGUAUGAGACUGUCAUUAGGUUACUCUGAAUCUCUUUCUCUCUCUCUCUUCAUGGUAAAAAUUAAGUUCCAUUAGGAAAAUUCUUCCUCCCCUUCCUUCCUCCCAUUGGUCUUUCC
rnacentral:lncRNA from 10 species